rnacentral:rRNA from 1 species
UAGGGAAUCUUCCGCAAUGGACGAAAGUCUGACGGAGCAACGCCGCGUGAGUGAAGAAGGAUUUCGGUUCGUAAAACUCUGUUGUUAGGGAAGAAAAAAUGUAUAGUAACUAUAUACAAAAGAGACGGUACCUAACCAGAAAGCCACGGCUAACUACGUGCCAGCAGCCGCGGUAAUACGUAGGUGGCAAGCGUUGUCCGGAAUUAUUGGGCGUAAAGGGCGCGCAGGUGGUUUAGAAAGUCUGAUGUGAAAGCCCACGGCUCAACCGUGGAGGGUCAUUGGAAACUAAUAAACUUGAGUGCAGGAGAGAAAAGUGGAAUUCCUAGUGUAGCGGUGAAAUGCGUAGAGAUUAGGAGGAACACCGGUGGCGAAAGCGGCUUUUUGGCCUGCAACUGACACUGAGGCGCGAAAGCGUGGGGAGCAAACAGG